rfam:Malassezia globosa CBS 7966 mgl_sf_10.1, whole genome shotgun sequence.
GACCCAUUGGUACAGUGGUUAGCACGUGGAGCUGUUACAACUGGUCGGUUACGACUUGCAAACUCUAAGGUCACUGGUUCGAAUCCAGUAUGGGUCG